GCAGUCGUGCCCGAGUGGUUAAGGCGAUGGACCAGAAAUCCAUUGGGGUCUCCCCGCACAGGUUCAAAUCCUGUCGACUGCG
rnacentral:tRNA from 1 species